rnacentral:pre_miRNA from 1 species
UUGUUACUCCCUCCGUUCGGAAUUACUUGUCUCGGAAAUGGAUGUAUCUAGAACUAAAAUACGUCUAGAUACAUCCAUUUCUACGACAAGUAAUUCCGAACAGAGGGAGUAGUUU